UCAUAUUAUUAGAAUUAUAGUAAAAUAAGAAUUUUCUUAUUAAUAGAUUAGAAAUUAUAUAAAUACCCUAAGUGUUACAACUUAAAUGGUGAGAAAUAAAUUUUUUUUUUUUUUUUUCCAAAAAUCAACAUUUACUCAUAUCAAUUUUUGGCUCCCCAUGCUAAUAGAUUUCUAAAUAGUAUAAUGAUCUUAUAGUUGUAGGUUUGGAUGCCACUUUUUCCUCAUUUAACCCAUGCUAGGUUUGCUCCUGAAACUUGUAAACUUUCAUCUUUAUACAGUUGUCUGGUUUUGGGAGGGAGUAAGCAAUAUUCCACACUUUGGAAGGGCCUAUUUUCCUAGUCUUUGGUGGAGAUGCAAAAGUUUCAAAUCCGCAGUCUUGGUUUAUGAAGAACAUUCCACAUUGUUUCUUUAAGGAAUCCUUCUUUCUACACUAAAAAUGGAUUGAGUUCCAAUCUUAUUGUGAGACUUCCAUUUUAUCGGUUUUCAAUGUUUUUCUGCACGUUCUUCCUACACCACUCACUCGUCUCUUCCAUCUUGUAUAGCUUAUCCUCCUCUAAAUUGUAUUUUUCAUUUCUUAAUUUGAUAUUUUCUUCUUCUAUCAAAAACUGAUAAUCUGGAAAAAAGACACCACAAAACACACUUUUGUGAUUAGUGACCUCGUGGAAACUUCAGAAGUAACACUACUUGAAUGGGUUGAAAUAGCAUCUGAAAAACCGUGCUCCUUAAAAUUGCAUAAGCUAGUCUUCUCAAAAAAUAAAUAAAUAAAUAAAAAUGCAUAAGCUAGUGAAAUUGCGCUUGUCCGACCACAUGAACAAAGACAUAUCAUCAAAUCGCACCUUCAAGAAACACAACAAGGUUUCUCUUCCCUCUAAUUAUACUUAAUCCCAUGAACCCUUCAAAGUUACUUUCUAGCAUCAACAUCAAUUCUAAAGACACAAACUCACCAAACCCUAAACCUAAACUUGGUUACCCACCGGAAGUAUAUCGUUCGAAAUACUAACAAAAAGCCUGUAAACUCCUUUGAAACGGAGAAAAGCGAGCUCACUGAUGCAAAAUUUACUACCGAAUGGAAACAGUUAGACUCAUUGAUAUAAAGAAGAAUCAUAAAUUCGAUUUCUCAGUAAGCACAUAGCGAAAUGGAUAUUGAAAUGAAUUAAAUUGGCAGCAUCUCCCAAUUACAGAUAACAGAAGCUGGUGAAACCUAAUGAAUAUACGGUUGCGGAGACCAGAAAGGUUACCAUUGAUAAUGAUGAGAGAUAUCUCGUCGAACUCCUGCAAGGCCGAGGAAAGAAAGAAGAUUUGCACGCAGAGACAGAAUUUCUUCUUCGUUUCUUCUAAGAAGGCAGAGAAUCUGCGUGCAGACUAUUUAAGGCAUAGCGUUGAUGAAACGCGAUUUAUUUAUUUAUUUAAUAAUAAUUUGUAAAAAGUAAAUAAAUAUCUACCUUUUUUU
rnacentral:lncRNA from 1 species